rnacentral:rRNA from 1 species
AUUGAACGCUGGCGGCAUGCUUUACACAUGCAAGUCGAACGGUAACAGGCCUUCGGGUGCUGACGAGUGGCGAACGGGUGAGUAAUGCAUCGGAACGGACACAGAGGUGGGGGAUAACGCAGCGAAAGCUGUGCUAAUACCGCAUGUGAUCUGAGGUUGAAAGCGGGGGACCGAGCAGCAAUGUUUGGCCUCGCGCCUUUGGAGCGGCCGAUGUCGGAUUAGCUAGUUGGUGGGGUAACGGCCUACCAAGGCGACGAUCCGUAGCUGGUCUGAGAGGACGACCAGCCACACUGGGACUGAGACACGGCCCAGACUCCUACGGGAGGCAGCAGUGGGGAAUUUUGGACAAUGGGCGCAAGCCUGAUCCAGCAAUGCCGCGUGCGGGAAGAAGGCCUUCGGGUUGUAAAACGCUUUUGGCAGGAACGAAACGGUGUCCGCUAAUACCGGGCGGUAAUGACGGUACCUGCAGAAUAAGCACCGGCUAACUACGUG